UACGUAGGCGCCAAGCGUUAUCCGGAUUCAUUGGGCGUAAAGGGUCCGUAGGCGGAUCCACAAGUCUGAUAUCAAAGCUCCCGGCUUAACCGGGAACAGGUGUUGGAAACUGUGGGUCUAGAGUUCGGUAGAGGUUGUCGGAACUUAUCGAGUAGGGGUAAUAUCCGUUGAUACGAUAAGGAACACCAAAGGCGAAGGCAGACAACUGGGCCGAUACUGACGCUCAUGGACGAAAGCGUGGGGAGCGAACGGG
rnacentral:rRNA from 1 species